UGAGGGAGCUUUCUUCUGUCC
rnacentral:miRNA from 1 species